UUUUUUUGGGAUAAAGUGUAACAAGGUCCCGUUUGGUGACCAGCGGAGGGAUCAUUAUAGGGUCUCACGACUGCCCAAACCACACCGUGCAUCUUUUACCAAACGCAAUGCUUCGGCGGGAUCGCUCCGCUGGGGGAGCUUCGGGUCGCUGAAAGGCACUGACUCGCCGAUGGCAUGCUAUUAAACCAUUUUGAAAAAACUUUCUGAUUUGAAUUUCCGAUCUCGGAACCAUAAACGUUUACAACUCAUAACAAUGGAUCUCUUGGCUCUGGCAUCGAUGAAGAACGCAGCGAAAUGCGAUAACUAAUAUGAAUUGCAGAAUUCAGCGAAUCAUCGAGUUUUUGAACGCACAUUGCGCCCUCUGGUAUUCCGGAGGGCCUGUCCGACCGAGCGUCGCUACACCGCUCAGGCUUUCUUGCCUGGUAUUGGAAUUCGCGAGACGUUUAUCGCCUUGUGAUUUCGAAAUGCAUUGGCGGCUCCCAGUGCGGGAUUCCCCCUAGCGCAGUAGAGUGUUUUCACGCUACGCUUCGGGACGCCUGGGUGCCUGCCGUAAAACAGCAGACUCACUCCCGGGUCGCUACCCUUUCUCAAGGUUGGCCUCGGGUCGGACAAGACUACCCGCUGAACUUAAGCAUAUCAAUAAGCGGAGGAAAAGAAACCAACAGGGAUUGCCUCAGUAACGGCGAGUGAAGCGGCAACAGCCCAGAUUUGAAAUCCGGCUUUCGGGCCCGAAUUGUAAUCUGCAGAUGAGGCUUUGGGUUACGUGCUGUCCAAGGUUCCCUGGAAUGGGACGCCACAGAGGGUGAGAGCCCCGUACUGACAUGCGCUGCACCUAUUUAUGGGCCCAUUCGAAGAGUCGAGUAGUUUGGAAAAUGCUGCUCUAAUCGUGGGGUAAAUCUCCCAUAAGGCUAAAUACUGGCCCAGAGACCGAUAGCGCACAAGUAGCGUGAGCGAAAAGAUGAAAAGAGCCUUGGAUAAGGGCGUCAAAAAGUAUGUGAAAUUGUUAUGGGGGAAGCGCUUAAGUGCCAGACUUGGUCUCAGCUGAUUAACCGGCGUUCUUCGCCGGCGCACUCUGCUGUUGCCAGGCCAGCAUCGGUUCGAUUCGGGGCUUACUGCUGCUGGGAACGUGUCCAUUUGGGGUGUUAUAGCCUAGUAGUGACCGUCCCGCGCCGGACCGAGGAUCGCGCAUCUGCUCGAAGUGCUGCUAGGCGUUCACACUUUAAACCGAAAAAAA
rnacentral:rRNA from 1 species